UUCAUUUCAGACCUUCUAUCUCCCUCUCUCCUCUCUUCGUCUUCUUCCCACCGUCGACCACCAAGCACGACCCGCCACCGUCGACCACGCACGACCCUGCCACCGUCGUUCUCCAUCUUCGGCCAACGUUCGUUCUCCGUCGUUCUUCCAGUUCCGGCCGUCUUCCAGCUUCGGCGACUAUUUUAGCACGAGCCUGCCACCGUCGUUCUCCAUCUCCGGCCAAAACCCAGCCACCGUGCGAUCUCCAUCUCUGGCCGUCUUCAGUCUCCGGCCGUCUUUCAUCUUCGACAGAGCGACCGCCGACGAGAUCCCCCAUUCCGGCGACCCAUUUCCGGCCCAGAUUUCCUCCAUUUCCGGCUCUGAUAUUCGAACAUCCGGAGGGGGUAUUCUUCACUUGGGUUGUUUUUGGGUGUUUUGUAGAAUUCUUUGGAAGGAGUAUAUGACCUUUGAGGUUUCGUGUUAUAGUGGUAUAUAAAGAAAGGGAGCACGGCUUCGUUGGCUGGGGGCAUGGGUAUUGGAUUGGUGCUCCUUCUUGCAGGGUAUCUCAGCCUCAAAGCUUUCAAGAAGAGGAAGAACUCGUAUCUGGCUUUGAUUCUUGAGACCGGUUUGGUUUGUUCAUUUUCUUCAGUUUUCGAAGUAGUUCUUGGAAGAGUUCAGAUAUGGGAGGUCAUUGUAGGCGCUGCAGACCUUGUUGAUUGAGAAGGGAACUCAAUUUGGUCCGUAGGUAAAUGCUGAAAGAAGACGGCUGGAAGUGGGGGCCUACCUGUUUGGCAGUUUGGUUUUUUUUUGGGUUCUUUUGUUUUAUUUGCUGCAAGUUUCAUAAAUAUAAAAGUUACAUACAACUGAACUGGAACUUGUAACGAAGAAAUGGACCCGUUUAUAUGCAAGUGGUGCAUGAUGAUGGAAGUUUUAUUCUUGUACAAAUUUUUUAAAUGUAUGUUAAACUGAAUUGUUGUCUUUUGGUCUUAAAAUAUUAAUGAAGAAAUAAUUUGUGAA